UAGAGACGGAAUUGGCGGCGGGGGCGGGGGGUCGAUGUCUCACUUUUUUGCCCAGGCUGGUCUCGAACUCCUGGCUUCAAGGGAUCCUCCUGCCUCGGCCUCUUAAAGUGCUGGGAUUACAGGCGUGAGCCACCGCCCCCGGCCGCCUCUGAGUUUCCAGCCUCGUUGGCCCUCCAGCCUUUUAACCUGUUGGGCCUAGGAUCAGGAAAGGUUUGUUGAAUGGGGAACUAAGAAGUGAAUUCGUUCGUUCGACAAACGUUUCCUGAGCAGCCGCUGGGUGCUAGGCGCAGUGCCAGCGCGGAAUGUCCAGGGAGACCUGGUGCCCAAAGCUUGGACCCAUCGUGAGAAAUGAGAAGCAGAUACAAAGCAGUGUGGGAGUGCAGAGGAGACAAAGCAAGCCUCAUCAGGCCCAUUGCUUGCUCUGCUCUCCCUUGUACUUACCAGUGCUUGACAAUAUACAGUUAUUUACUAGCUUGGUUAUUGACUUCCUACCCAGCACUCAGUUUUAUUCACUGCUGUAUCCUCAGUGCCUAGGACGAUGCUUGGAACGUGAUUCAUUGAUUCCAGGUAAAUCAGAGGAACAAGCAACAUGAACAGAAAUAUGUAGAAAAAGCUAUUAUGCAGAAGCAUAAUUGUUGUUUCAGAAGUCCAGCAUCUGGUGCACUUAACAAUAGAGAAUAUAUUAAACUCUUUCCAAAAUAACCUGUUGUUCCUACCUGUGUUGUAAGUGUUUUGUUUGUUUUUAAGUAAAUAUUGGUGAUUUGUUGCCA
rnacentral:lncRNA from 1 species